AAUAAUAAAAUUUAUAAUUUCAGUAAAUUAUUAAUUUAUAAUAUGAAUGAGACCACUAAGUUGUGUAAGAGUUUAAAAAAAAUAUCAUCUUACUAAUUUAUUAAAGCUAUUAACUUAAUUCUUCGGCCCAAGUCAAUAAAACAAAAAAACUAUUAUGUAAUAGAGGUUGUUAAUUUAGUGGGUAUUAAAUGAUAGAUGUUUUACUGUGAAGGAAAACACUAAGGUAGCGUUUACUUUUUAGAUUGGAUUGGGAAUCCUAAGGAGUGGGAAUCCUAGGAUUGAGAAUGUGGAGUGGGAGUGGGAGUAGGUUAUUUACUUACACUGGAAUGGAAGUAUGGAUUAGAGAUCAGAAUCCAAUUUAUGUGUUUACUUUGUCUUGGAUUGAGAGUAAAUAGUUUCAAAUUACAAUUUUAUCCUUAUUUAAAGAAUUAUAG
rnacentral:lncRNA from 1 species